GAUGAACGCUGGCGGCGUGCCUAAUACAUGCAAGUCGAGCGAACAGACGAGGAGCUUGCUCCUCUGACGUUAGCGGCGGACGGGUGAGUAACACGUGGAUAACCUACCUAUAAGACUGGGAUAACUUCGGGAAACCGGAGCUAAUACCGGAUAAGAUAUUGAACCGCAUGGUUCAAUAGUGAAAGACGGUUUUGCUGGCACUUAUAGAUGGAUCCGCGCCGCAUUAGCUAGUUGGUAAGGUAACGGCUUACCAAGGCAACGAUGCGUAGCCGACCUGAGAGGGUGAUAGGCCACACUGGAACUGAGACACGGUCCAGACUCCUACGGGACGCAGCAGUAGGGAAUCUUACGCAAUGGGCGAAAGCCUGACGGAGCAACGCCGCGUGAGUGAUGAAGGUCUUCGGAUCGUAAAACUCUGUUAUUAGGGAAGAACAACUGUGUAAGUAACUAUGCACGUCUUGACGGUACCUAAUCAGAAAGCCACGGCUAACUACGUG
rnacentral:rRNA from 1 species